CCUACGGGAGGCAGCAGUGAGGAAUAUUGGUCAAUGGGCGGAAGCCUGAACCAGCCAAGUAGCGUGCGGGAUGAAGGCCCUACGGGUCGUAAACCGCUUUUGCACGGGGAUAACACCCUCCACUUGUGGCGGUCUGCAGGUACCGCGCGAAUAAGGGCCGGCUAAUUCCGUGCCAGCAGCCGCGGUAAUACGGAAGGCCCGAGCGUUAUCCGGAUUCAUUGGGUUUAAAGGGAGCGUAGGCGGGCGCUAAAGCCAGCUGUAAAAUCGCGCGGCUCAACCGCGCCCCGCAGUUGAAACCGGGCGCCUUGAGUUCACAACAGGCAGGCGGAAUUCGUGGUGUAGCGGUGAAAUGCAUAGAUAUCACGCAGAACCCCGAUUGCGAAGGCAGCAUACCGGCGCGCAACUGACGCUGAUGCACGAAAGCGUGGGUAUCGAACAGGAUUAGAUACCCUAGUAGUC
rnacentral:rRNA from 1 species